GCUGCUGCUGCUGCUGCU
rnacentral:miRNA from 2 species